GGCGCGUCACAGAGGCUCCGAACGUGCGGCGUCGCCGCGCCGCCGCGCUGCUGCGCUCGCCCGGCGGGAGCCGGGACUCCUGGCUUCCCGGCACGCCCCGCGCGGGUCUCUGCGCGACCUUGGGCGGGCGUCCGCGCCCUGCGCCUGUGUUUCCGCGAGUGAAGUGGGGAUGGGGGCGGCGGCUCUGGCCCUGCAAUCUGCGACCUAACGGCGCCCACGGCCACCCGCGCGCCCUCGAACCUUUGGCGGCUCUGACGCGAGACAGGCACACGAGUCAUUUGGGCUCUCCGAGCCUCGGUCCCCUGCUCCGUGGAGCCGGGCUGGCGGCCAGUCCCCGGGGUACAGCCGGGCAGCUAUGCGCGCGCUGCCCCGGCCCCAGCCCGUCCGCCCGCCCCGCGGGGACCAGGACAAACCCCGGCUGGCCCGGGAGGAGGCCCCAACAAUGGAGCCCAGAGGACGGGACAAUGGGCCUCUCUGCGGCCCAGCUGUGCCCCCAACCAGACAGAAGCAGCUGGCCCGGGGGCUGCCAGGAGCCGCGCGCUGGGGUCCCUGGUGGCUCCCGGCCCUGGUGACAGGGUGUGCACCGUGAAGGGCAGGGCGCGGGCUUUGCACGGCCCUGUGUGCCCUCUCUUGAUUGUGUGAGGGCACGCUAACCCUCUGAGGGGACGCUGUCAUCACCCCAGUUUUACCACUAGGUCACUGCGGUUCGGGUCGGCCACGUGGCUUUGGGCAAGCUGCUUCAGCCCUCUGGUCCUUCCUUUCUGCAUCUGCCACCUACCUCCAAGUCGAGAGAACCAAAAGAGAUGAUGAAGAAACGGAGGCACCAAAUGGUCAAAUAACCUGCCCAAAGGUCAGAGAUGUGGACAGAUGUAGACUAUAGCCAGAGAAGGUAGAAAGGAACAGUUAAUGACAACAAGCGAGGACAAGUGUGCGGCGGCCCUGUGUGGUUGUGAGAUCCCGACUUCCCUGCAGGGAGCUCGCGCUGUGGUUUGGGAACCCACGUGGAUGAGCCUCUUGUUGGGAGAAUGAGGGUCUCGGGCAGACUGGAUCAGUGAGCUGAGGCCACAGAGAGUGGGACUGCUCUUGUGAGAAGGUUUCAAGUCACGUCCCGUGUGGCUAAGGAGGGAGGUGGUCUGCUGCCCGCUGGGUCACCUGUGGGAGAAAUGGACUCUGCUAUUCUGGCUGUGUUGGGGGCCUCUCUGUUACAGCAUCCUAGGUGUCCCCUCGCUAAGGUGCUGCGCGGGACACAGCAGAGAACCAGCAGGCAAGACAUACAAAUGACAACAUUAACUGCAGAAAUGCAGCAAAGAGGAAUACGAAUUGGCACAGAUCCAACAUUUCAGUAUUGAGACGAUUUUUAAACAAGCAGAGGAAACAGCAAGUGCCAAGGCCCAGAGAUCAGAGGAGCAGGAAAAGGUGGUGGACACCGUGUGCCCAUCAGGGCCUGGCAGGACAGUGACCCUGCGGUCUGUCCAGCCCUCUCUGAGCCAACUGUGUAACAGGAAUGACUUGGGCUUGAGAACUGACCCUGUCCCAAUCCUGCCUGCAGACGUCUCGUUGACCUGGAGCAUUCACAUGUCUGUUGCCGUGGAAACCUGACACUCGGGCUUGGCCACCUGCACCUGCCAUCCAUCCAUCCCCCAAAUCAAGGAGCUGGUCCAACCCGUGACCUGGUGAUGCCCAAAGGACGAGAAAUCACUGCAUCUGUUAGAGCCCCUGGGACCAUUUUUAGAGCCUCUGGCCUCAGCCUCAGCCAGACGAGGUUGGCAGGGCUUCUCAAGACCGGCAGGGCUGUUGGGACACCCGAGGCAGCAUGAAAUCGUCACUCCCAUCUCCGGCCCCAGCAGCGAUUCGCUCUGCCGCCGGGACUGGCCCUGAGCGAAUUCUGUGGCCACGGGAACUCAUCAGCCCACGGCCGCCUGGCCUCCCUCACGCGGGUUCUGCGUCAGCAGCACACACAGAGGGAGACAAACACCCCACAGCCACAGGCACACACCCACUGCCUCACACCCAGAUACACACACAAAUGCACAGGCAGGCACAGACACACACCCACAGUGCGUGCCACCAUGCCUAGGCCACUUCUGGCCACCCCUGCGAUUCUUCCAGUCUCGGUUUUGCUGACUGUCCCAGGACGAAGCGGGGACGGCCCACAAGACACUCCCGUGCAUCCUGGAACCUCUCUGAACAGAGUGUCUUCAUCACCGUUCCUCUUCCCCAGAAGGGAAAGUUCCUGGAAAACAAGGAUUGAAGGAAGAGAGGGAGGAGGAGGAAAGGGAGGAGGGAGAGAGGCAGGCAGGCAGGGAGGGAGGCAGACACAGCCAUGAUAAACAGGCGACGCCAUAGGAUAUAAAUAUGCUGGGGCAGACUUGA